UACAGAGGUCCCAAGCGUUGUUCGGAUUCACUGGGCGUAAAGGGUGCGUAGGUGGCCGGGUAAGUCUGACGUGAAAUCUCCGAGCUUAACUCGGAAACGGCAUUGGAAACUACCUGGCUGGAGGGUUGGAGGGGGGACUGGAAUACUUGGUGUAGCAGUGAAAUGCGUAGAUAUCAAGUGGAACACCAGUGGCGAAGGCGAGUCCCUGGACAGUUCCUGACGCUGAGGCACGAAGGCCAGGGGAGCAAACGGG
rnacentral:rRNA from 1 species